UUUUUAUGCCCCACCUAAACCUCCCUCAAUCGUAGACAGAAUCAGGGAAAAAAUACGCCCCCCGUUUCCGUCCUCGCGCCGUGGCGCCAACAUUUCGUGGUUGUUUUUUUUGUUGGCGCGCACCUCCGCAGGUUUGCCGUCUCUCCCUCCGCUGGCGUCGCCUUCACAUCGCCCCUCCCGUGCUGCAUCUGUCUCCCGCCGCUCCAUCCUCGGCUCUGCUGCCACAACCUCCUCGGCUCCUCCGCCGCUCCAUACUCGGACGGAUGCACUCGAUUCCCCGAGACCUUGUGCUGGCAAGACCUAGCAGGCUAGGGUACGGGCCGCCGUCGCCCGCCGCAUGUAGGGGCCUGAUGAGGACGCGGCUGGCCGGCUGCUGCUGCCUGUGGUGAUCAUCUCCUGCUCCAUCUUCUUCCUCGUCGUCGCCUUGGUGCCAAGAUUCGUCACUGUUGAAUCGGGUUGCUAUGGUGCCAAGAGUCGCCGACCAGCAGAUCCCCACGCUCCGUCUCCCGCUCUGUUAGUCAGGCACUUGUGAGAAUGGCUGGAGACAGCACGUUUAUGAGCUUGUUGAAUGAGACUCCGGGCAACAAUGGACAGGAGUGGAAUGGUUUAGGUAGCCCUCCUGAGGAGCAGCAGGACACACCCUUUUACACAACUCCCAGCACCCAAGGAAGCAAGAAAGCAAGAAACAAGAAUUUGUUCUUUUUGUGAGUCUGAAGAUGUAGUACUUGCCAGGGCUUGGUUGGGCACAAGUACUGAUGCAAUUCCAGGCACAAAUCAGAAAAAAAGUGCUUUUUGGACUAGGGUUCAUAAUUUCUACCAUUUGGAGAAGGAAAUCAUAGUACAUCGUAGCUCAAAUUCUCGUAGCUCAAAUUCUCUAUCUCAUCGUUGGAGCACUAUUCAAGAGUCUGUCAAUAAGUUUUGUGGAUGUUUUACUGCUAUUGAGGGCAGAAAUCAAAGUGGGAAGACUUUUGAAAACAAGCUUAUGGAUGCAUGCGUCUUAUAAAAGGAAGAAGAUAAAGAAAAGAAGUCUUUUCAGCUCUUGCACUGCUGGAAUAUUUUACGCCAUGAACCAAAGUGGCAUCAGAAGAUGAGUCAAAUGGCAAAAAUUAAAUGUUCUCAAAAGAAAAACAAGGCUCCUGAUGAUUCUAUAUUGGAUUUAACUGGAAACGAAAAUGAUGAUUUGCCCAAUGCUAGUAACAAUGAUAUUGCAACUCCAGAAGGUGAUGCACCUAAGCGGCCAAUGGGUAGGAAGAAGGCUAAACAACUUUUACGUCGAGGUGGGGGUGAUGCAUGCAUUGAAGCAUUAGAUCAAAUGUGGGAAAAGAAGAAGAAGGCCGAUGCAAAGAAAGAAGCGAAGAAGGAGGAAAGGUUUAACAAAGCAUUAGAAAUUGAAAUAGAGAAGCUUCGAUUAGAGCAAGUGAGGGCUGCAAGUGAGCAAGACCGGGCGAGCUUGAAGAGAAUGAUAGAAGAAGAAAGAAUCAUGACAAUGGACACCAGUGGCAUGACUGUUCAGUAGCAACGUUAUUACGAGAGCCUUCGUUCCGAUAUAACUACUCGGCGAGGGAUAAAUCUUACUUGAGUACUCAUUUUUGCUUCUGCAGUACCAAGGCAUAGCAGUACCAAGGAAUAAAUCUUAUCUUUUAGAUCAGUUUGCACUCAUAUUUGUUUCUGUAUUACAUGAACCAUAAUCAAUUAAAUCCAAUAAGCAGAGGUACUAUCACUUUAUUACAUGGA